CUUCGGCUCCUGAGUACAGCGGCGCACGGGUGCGUAACACGUGGGUGAUCUAUCGUUGAGGCGGGGAUAACCCAGCGAAAGCUGGGCUAAUACCCGAUAAGGCCACAGGAGGGAACUUCUGGGGUCAAAGGGCGGCUCUUGAGAGGAGGCGUCUCUUCGAUGCGGAGCCCGCGGCCUAUCAGCUGGUUGGUGAGGUAAGGGCUCACCAAGGCGAAGACGGGUAGCUGGUCUGAGAGGAUGACCAGCCACACGGGGACUGAGACACGGCCCCGACUCCUACGGGAGGCAGCAGUGGGGAAUCUUGGGCAAUGGGCACAAGCCUGACCCAGCGACGCCGCGUGGGUGAUGAAGGCCUUCGGGUCGUAAAGCCCUGUCAGGCGGAAAGAAGGCUCUUCCGGCGCAAUCCGGGAGAGGUGACGGUACCGCCGAAGGAAGCACCGGCCAACUCCGUGCCAGCAGCCGCGGUAAGACGGAGGGUGCAAGCGUUGCUCGGAAUCACUGGGCGUAAAGGGUGCGUAGGCGGCCUGGCAAGUCUAGCGUGAAAGCCCCGGGCCCAGCCCGGGAAGCGCGCCAGAAACUGCAAGGCUGGAGGACCGGAGGGGAGAGUGGAAUUCCCGGUGUAGCGGUGAAAUGCGUAGAGAUCGGGAGGAAUACCGGUGGCGAAAGCGACUCUCUGGACGGUCACUGAUGCUGAGGCACGAAAGCGUGGGGAGCAAACAGGAUUAGAUACCCUGGUAGUCCACGCCGUAAACGAUGGGCACUAGGUGUCGGGGGUAACCACUCCCUCGGUGCCGCCGCUAACGUACUAAGUGCCCCGCCUGGGAAGUACGGCCGCAAGGUUAAAACUCAAAAGGAAUUGACGGGGGGCCCGCACAAGCGGGUGGAGCAUGUUGGUUCAAUUUCGAUGCAACGC
rnacentral:rRNA from 1 species